CCGGUUGAUCCUGCCGGAGGUUACUGCUAUCGAGGUUCGACUAAGCCAUGCGAGUCGAAUGUAGCAAUACAUGGCGAACUGCUCAGUAACACGUGGACAACCUGCCCUUAGGACGGGGAUAAACCCGGGAAACUGGGUAUAAUACCCGAUAGGUCUCGAUUGCUGGAAUGCAUCGAGAUUUAAAGCUCCGGCGCCUAAGGAUGGGUCUGCGGCCUAUCAGGUAGUAGUGGGUGUAGCGUACCUACUAGCCUACGACGGGUACGGGUUGUGAGAGCAAGAGCCCGGAGAUGGAUUCUGAGACACGAAUCCAGGCCCUACGGGGUGCAGCAGGCGCGAAAACUUUACAAUGCUGGCAACAGCGAUAAGGGAACCUCGAGUGCCAGGUUACAAAUCUGGCUGUCGAGAUGCCUAAAAAGCAUUUCAUAGCAAGGGCCGGGCAAGACCGGUGCCAGCCGCCGCGGUAACACCGGCGGCUCGAGUGGUAACCGUUAUUAUUGGGUCUAAAGGGUCUGUAGCCGGCCGGAUAAGUCUCUUGAGAAAUCUGGCAGCUUAACUGUCAGGCUUUCAGGAGAUGCUGUCUGGCUCGAGGCCGGGAGAGGUGAGAGGUACUUCAGGGGUAGGGGUGAAAUCUUGUAAUCCCUGAAGGACCACCAGUGGCGAAGGCGUCUCACCAGAACGGACCUGACGGCAAGGGACGAAAGCUAGGGGCACGAACCGGAUUAGAUACCCGGGUAGUCCUAGCCGUAAACGAUACUCGCUAGGUGUCGGCCACGGUGCGACCGUUGUCGGUGCCGUAGGGAAGCCGUGAAGCGAGCCACCUGGGAAGUACGGCCGCAAGGCUGAAACUUAAAGGAAUUGGCGGGGGAGCACCACAACGGGUGGAGCUUGCGGUUUAAUUGGAUUCAACGCCGGG
rnacentral:rRNA from 1 species